UACGGAGGAGGCAAGCGUUAUCUGGAAUUAUUGGGCGUAAAGCGUCCGCAGGUGGCACUUCAAGUCUGUCGUCAAAGACUGGGGCUUAACCCUGGAAAGGCGGUGGAAACUGAAGCGCUAGAGUGUGGUAGGGGUAGAGGGAAUUCCCGGUGUAGAGGUGAAAUUCGUAGAUAUCGGGAGGAACACCAGCGGCGAAGGCGGCGAUCUGGGGGGAUACUGACGUUGAGGUGCGAAAGCGUGGGGAGCAAACAGG
rnacentral:rRNA from 1 species